GACGAACGCUGGCGGCGUGCUUAACACAUGCAAGUCGAACGGAAAGGCCCCCACCUUGGUGGGGGUGCUCGAGUGGCGAACGGGUGAGUAACACGUGGGUGAUCUGCCCUGUACUUCGGGAUAAGCUUGGGAAACUGGGUCUAAUACCGGAUAGGACCAUGGUUUAGUGUCUCAUGGUGGAAAAAUUAUUGUUUUGGUGCAGGAUGAGCUCGCGGCCUAUCAGCUUGUUGGUGGGGUAAUGGCCUACCAAGGCGUCGACGGGUAGCCGGCCUGAGAGGGUGGACGGCCACAUUGGACUGAGAUACGGCCCAGACUCCUACGGGAGGCAGCAGUGGGGAAGAUUGCACAAUGGGCGCAAGCCUGAUGCAGCGACGCCGCGUGGGGGAUGACGGCCUUCGGGUUGUAAACUCCUUUCGUUAGGGACGAAGCCACACCUUUUUUGGGUGUGGUGACGGUACCUUUGUUAAGAAGCACCGGCUAACUACGUG
rnacentral:rRNA from 1 species